CAAAAGCCAAACCCUGAAUUUUCGUGUCCAACGUUUGAUCGUCCGUCUUAUAUAAAACUUUUUUAUAAUUCAUAUUUUUAUUGUUGUUAGAUGAUAAAAUAUAAAUAAUAUUUUAUAUGGGACUUGUCUUUUUUAACUUUUUUCAUAAUUUUUUCAAAUAAAACGAACGGUCAAACGUUCGACACAGAAACCUAGGAUUUAUCUUUUA
rfam:Oryza rufipogon genomic scaffold, chr02